rnacentral:snoRNA from 1 species
ACAUGGGUUUGGAUUUAUGGCAGGCCCAUCCCCUUGGGUCUUUCAUAGUGCCCCAUGCCAGAGUAAACUGUGGCCUGAACCAUUGCCUGGCCUCAGCCGAUAGGCUGCAGGAACAAAACAAGACAUGAAUUC